rnacentral:rRNA from 1 species
UACGUAGGUGACCAGCGUUGUCCGGAUUUACUGGGCGUAAAGAGCGCGCAGGCGGUCGUCAAGUCGAGUGUGAAAGCCCCCGGCUCAACUGGGGAGGGUCAUUCGAUACUGAUCGACUCGAAGGCAGGAGAGGGAAGCGGAAUUCCCGGUGUAGUGGUGAAAUGCGUAGAUAUCGGGAGGAACACCAGUGGCGAAGGCGGUUGCCUGGGGCUUUGCUGACGCUGAUGCGCGAAAGCGUGGGGAGCGAGUCCGG